AUUGAACGCUGGCGGCAGGCCUAACACAUGCAAGUCGGACGGUAGCACAGAGGAGCUUGCUCCUCGGGUGACGAGUGGCGGACUGGUGAGUAAUGUCUGGGGAUCUGCCCGAUAGAGGGGGAUAACCACUGGAAACGGUGGCUAAUACCGCAUAACGUCGCAAGACCAAAGAGGGGGACCUUCGGGCCUCUAACUAACGGAUGAAACCAGAUGGGAUUAGCUAGUAGGCGGGGAAAUGGCCCACCUAGGCGACGAUCCCUAGCUGGUCUGAGAGGAUGACCAGCCACACUGGAACUGAGACACGGUCCAGACUCCUACGGGAGGCAGCAGUGGGGAAUAUUGCACAAUGGGCGCAAGCCUGAUGCAGCCAUGCCGCGUGUAUGAAGAAGGCCUUCGGGUUGUAAAGUACUUUCAGCGGGGAGGAAGGCGAUAAGGUUAAUAACCUUGUCGAUUGACGUUACCCGCAGAAGAAGCACCGGCUAACUCCGUGCCAGCCGCCGCAGUAA
rnacentral:rRNA from 1 species